rnacentral:sRNA from 2 species
AUAUCUUUCUGUACGGGAAGGAUGAGAAGCUUCGACUAAGGUUCGAUUCGAGCGCAGCGAGAAAGCGUUGCCGCAGGCAACGACCCGAAGGGCGAAGCGCGC